UACGGAGGGAGCGAGCGUUGUCCGAAGUUACUGGGCGUAAAGCGCGCGUAGGCGGGAAAUUAAGUGAGAAGUGAAAGGCUGGGGCUCAACCCCAUGCAGUGCUCCUCAUACUGGUUUUCUUGAGGGUGGUAGAGAGAAGUGGAAUGGCUGGUGUAGCGGUGAAAUGCGUAGAUAUCAGGAGGAACACCGGUGGCGAAGGCGGGUCUCUGGGCAGUAACUGACGCUGAGGAGCGAAAGCGUGGGGAGCGAACAGG
rnacentral:rRNA from 1 species